rnacentral:misc_RNA from 1 species
GGCCAAGGCAGGGUUGAUGAUUGGGGUUAAGUCGUAACAAGGUAUCCCUACCGGAAGGUGGGGANGGAUCACCUCCUUUCUAUGGAGUUUAGUUUCUAUUAAGAAACCAAGACAACAAGAAAGAACCAGAUAGAUGAUUUAUUGGAUUAGUUUUUUUGUUCUGUUUAGUUUUCAGGGAUUGUUUUCUCUGAGCAAUUGUUCUUUAAAAACUGGAUAAUAGACAUCUUUUAAAAAAUAAGAUAAUUUUUAUCUUGUAAUAGGAUAUUCUAAAAAUAAAUUAUUAAGAG